rnacentral:piRNA from 1 species
UACCAAAGAGUCCAAAAUGAAGAGGAGCCA